GGCAGCCGCGGUAAUUCCAGCUCCAAUAGCGUAUAUUAAAGUUGUUGCAGUUAAAAAGCUCGUAGUUGAAUUUCGGGGUUAGUAGGUUGGUCAUGCCUUUGGUAUGUACUGGUCUCACUGAUUCCUCCUUCCUGAUGAACCUUAAUGCCAUUUAUUUGGUGUUUUGGGGAAUUUGGACUGUUACUUUGAAAAAAUUAGAGUGUUUAAAGCAAGCUAACGCUUGAAUACAUUAGCAUGGAAUAAUGAAAUAGGACGUUCGAUCCUAUUUUGUUGGUUUCUAGGAUUGACGUAAUGAUUAAUAGGGAUAGUUGGGGGCAUUAGUAUUCAAUUGUCAGAGGUGAAAUUCUUGGAUUUAAUUGAGGACUAACUACUGCGAAAGCAUUUGCCAAGGAUGUUUCAUUAAUCAAGAACGAAAGUUAGGGAUCGAAGACGAUCAGAUACCGUCGUAGUCUUAACCAUAAACUAUGCCGACUAGGGAUCGGAUGAUGUUAAUUUUUAANGUACUNUAUCGGCGUACCGUUACGGGAAACCAAGUUAGUUUGGGUUACG
rnacentral:rRNA from 1 species